rnacentral:rRNA from 1 species
UACGUAGGGGGCGAGCGUUGUCCGGAUUUAUUGGGCGUAAGGAGCGUGUAGGCGGCCAGGUAGGUCUGCUGUGAAAACUCGAGGCUCAACCUCGAGACGUCGGCGGAAACCAUCUGGCUAGAGUCCGGAAGAGGAGAGUGGAAUUCCUGGUGUAGCGGUGAAAUGCGCAGAUAUCAGGAAGAACACCCGUGGCGAAGGCGGCUCUCUGGGACGGUACUGACGCUGAGACGCGAAAGCGUGGGGAGCGAACAGG